rnacentral:rRNA from 1 species
UACAGAGGUCUCAAGCGUUGUUCGGAUUCAUUGGGCGUAAAGGGUGCGUAGGCGGCGCGGUAAGUCGGGGUGUGAAAAUCUCGGAGCUUAACUCCGAAAACUGCAUUCGAUACUGCCGUGCUUGAGGACUGGAGAGGAGACUGGAAUUUAUGGUGUAGCGGUGAAAAUGCGUAGAUAUCGUAAGGAAGACCAGUGGCGAAGGCGGGUCUCUGGACAGUUCCUGACGCUGAGGCACGAAGGUCAGGGGGAGCAAAACGGG